CAGUAGUCACGAGUUUGAUCCUAGCUCAGAACGAACGCUGGCGGCGCGCCUAACACAUGCAAGUCGAACGAGAAUCCGGGGCAACCCGGUAGUAAAGUGGCAAACGGGUGAGGAAUACAUGGGUAACCUACCCUUGAGAAGGGAAUAACCCGCCGAAAGGUGAGCUAAUACCCUAUACGCUAUCUUUUUUUCGAAAAGGAUAGGAAAGCCGGGUCGAGGACCUGGUACUCAAGGAGGGGCUCAUGUCCUAUCAGCUUGUUGGUGGGGUAACGGCCUACCAAGGCUACGACGGGUAGCUGGUCUGAGAGGAUGAUCAGCCACACUGGCACUGAGAUACGGGCCAGACUCCUACGGGAGCAGCAGUGAGGAAUAUUGCGCAAUGGGCGAAAGCCUGACGCAGCGACGCCGCGUGGGGGAUGAAGGUUUUCGGAUUGUAAACCCCUUUCAUGAGGAAAGAUAAAGUGGGUAACCACUUAGACGGUACCUCAAGAAGAAGCCACGGCUAACUCGUG
rnacentral:rRNA from 1 species